rnacentral:rRNA from 1 species
CCUACGGGAGGCAGCAGUGGGGAAUAUUGCGCAAUGGGCGAAAGCCUGACGCAGCGACGCCGCGUGAGGGAUGAAGGUCUUCGGAUCGGAAAACUCUGUCAGCAGGGAAGAACGGUCCCUGUGCUAAUCAGCAGUGAAUUUACGGUACCUGCAAAGGAAGCACCGGCUAACGCCGAGCCAGCAGCCUAGGUAAUACGGAGGGUGCGAGCGUUAAUCGGAAUUGCUGGGCGUAAAGCUCUCGUAGGUUGUGUGUCAAGUCAAGGGUGAAAUCCCCGGGAUGAAACUGUGAAAUGCCUUUGAAACUGGCAAACUGGAGGGUGUGAGAGGAAAGUGGAA